UAGAGGUGUGCAAUGCUGAACUUAUUAAUUAGACAACUUACCAUCUACUUUCCUUAGGCCCCCAACAUUAAUUAUGCACCUCUAAUCCUUUAAUAUUUCUUAUCAACUUCACAUUCUUUAUUUUAGUAACCUUCCCCAUAUUUUCACACAAAAAAAUAAAGCAAAGGGAAAAAACACAGAAAGAAGAAGAAAGAAAAUGGAAGCUCCUCCAAAAUAUCAAAAUAUGUCAUACUAUGACCAUGUCCAAAGCCGUCGUGAAGAAAAGGGGUGCCUCUAUGCUUGCAUGUUCGCGUUGUGUUGUUGUUUCUGCUGUCACAAAAGGGUCUGUUGUUGUUGUUCUUGAAACACAAUUAAUCAUCUGUGUUGGUGAUUAUGUUACUCAGAUUCUUCAAUAUUAUUAUUUGAUAUGUGUGCGAUCCUCCAAAAAUUAUGUAUUUUUGUAUAAUUCGAUACGGUUGCGACAAUAGUUUUUAAGAAUUCAAGCAAAGUAGAUGCAGAUUUAUAUGUUGAUGUUUGCAUGAAAUGGGAUGUCAUAUAUAGCUACUGUUAAUCCAUUACACUAUGUUUAAUUCCUCCUACGCCAAGUGAACUUAAUUUGUUCAUUUGUUACACAAUAUCAUUAUGGGUUUAUUCUAAACACGAUCAAUACAAUUUAAUUUGUUAUAAAAAGGUACUUAAAUAAUA